AACGCUAGCUACAGGCUUAACACAUGCAAGUCGAGGGGCAGCAUUCCAGUUUGCUUGCAAACUGGAGAUGGCGACCGGCGCACGGGUGAGUAACACGUAUCCAACCUGCCGAUAACUCGGGGAUAGCCUUUCGAAAGAAAGAUUAAUACCCGAUGGCAUAAUAGAACCGCAUGGUUUGAUUAUUAAAGAAUUUCGGUUAUCGAUGGGGAUGCGUUCCAUUAGGCAGUUGGUGGGGUAACGGCCCACCAAACCUUCGAUGGAUAGGGGUUCUGAGAGGAAGGUCCCCCACAUUGGAACUGAGACACGGUCCAAACUCCUACGGGAGGCAGCAGUGAGGAAUAUUGGUCAAUGGACGAGAGUCUGAACCAGUCAAGUAGCGUGAAGGAUGACUGCCCUAUGGGUUGUAAACUUCUUUUAUAUGGGAAUAAAGUGGUCCACGUGUGGAUUUUUGUAUGUACCAUAUGAAUAAGGAUCGGCUAACUCCGUGCCAGCAGCCGCGGUAAUACGGAGGAUCCGAGCGUUAUCCGGAUUUAUUGGGUUUAAAGGGAGCGUAGGUGGACAGUUAAGUCAGUUGUGAAAGUUUGCGGCUCAACCGUAAAAUUGCAGUUGAUACUGGCUGUCUUGAGUACAGUAGAGGUGGGCGGAAUUCGUGGUGUAGCGGUGAAAUGCUUAGAUAUCACGAAGAACUCCGAUUG
rnacentral:rRNA from 1 species